GUUUCAGCCGCCGCGGUAAUACAGAGGUGGCAAGCGUUGUUCGGAAUUACUGGGCGUAAAGGGCGCGUAGGUGGCCUUGUUAGUCAGACGUGAAAUCCCCAAGCUUAACUUGGGAACUGCGUCUGAUACUGCAAGGCUUGAGUUCGGGAGAGGGAUGUGGAAUUCCAGGUGUAGCGGUGAAAUGCGUAGAUAUCUGGAGGAACACCGGUGGCGAAGGCGGCAUCCUGGACCGAAACUGACACUGAGGCGCGAAAGCUAGGGGAGCAAACGGGAUUAGAAACCCCGGUAGUCC
rnacentral:rRNA from 1 species